AAAUUGAGUGACCUGUCCUUCAAGAGAAAUCGGAAGGAGGGUGGGGGUGAUUCCUCAGCCUCCUCACCAACAGAGGAAGAGCAGGAGCAGAGGGAAAUCAGUGCCUGCAGCGAUGAGGGCACUGCCCAAGAAGGGAAGGCUCCUGCCACCCCUGAGAGCCAAGAGCCCCAGUUCACGGGUAGUGCUGCCUCAAAGGAAGGAGACACAGAACAGGAGGCAGGGCCCCGGGCUGCAGAGCCAUCCACUCCCUCAGAGAGUGGCCCCACACCUGCCAGUGCUGAGCAGAAUGAGUAGCUGGGUAGGGGCAGGUGGGUGAUCUCUAAACUGCAAAACUGUGCUGUUCUUGUGAGGUCACUGCCUGCACCUUGUGCCCUGGCUGUCUUCCUGUGCCCAUAAAGGAAGUGGCUUGUUGCCCCCUCCCAGACAUGCUCCCUUUUCGCCCUCCUGUGGAUUCUCCCAUUAGCCAUUUGGUCUCACUCUUAAGGCCAGUUGAAGAUGGUCCCUUACGGUUUCUCAAAUUAGGUUAGUGAUGUGAAAUGCUCCUGUCCCUACCUCCUUCCCGAGCCCCAUCCCUGCAGAAGGCAACUGCUGGGUUUCCAAUUCUUUUCCAAGUUCAUUUUGUUUAUCCUGCUCCGCAAUCCCCUGAGCCAGAAGUGGAGGCUUACAUUCUCAAACCCUGAGUGUCUAGCCUUUUCCCUGUUGGAUUCUUAGUUUCUUGUGCUAUGCCUAGUGGCACCCAGGCUGGGGAGGACAUGGCCCCUGUCUGGGUUUUUAUAAAUGUCUUACUCAAGCUCAAACCGCCAGCUGGUGAAAUCAACCAUGUCUCUGACUUGAUUAGCAAGUGUUAGGCUUCAAGCAGGAGGGAGGUCUGUAAUGUGAAACAACUUCUUGCUGUUCUUUUUUUCCUCUCCCAUUGUUGUAAAUAACUUUUAAUGGCCUAACCCCAGAUUUGUACCUUUUUUUUUUUUUUUCCUAACUGCUGAAACCAUUCUUCUACCCGGAUUGACUGUAACAUUUGGAAAACGAAUAAAUGUUGUCCCUUU